rnacentral:rRNA from 1 species
CCUACGGGAGGCAGCAGUGAGGAAUAUUGGUCAAUGGGCGAGAGCCUGAACCAGCCAAGUCGCGUGAGGGAAGACGGUCCUAUGGAUUGUAAACCUCUUUUGUCGGGGAGCAAAACGCGGUACGCGUACCGCAUCGAGAGUACCCGGAGAAAAAGCAUCGGCUAACUCCGUGCCAGCAGCCGCGGUAAUACGGAGGAUGCGAGCGUUAUCCGGAUUUAUUGGGUUUAAAGGGUGCGCAGGCGGCGAGUUAAGUCAGCGGUAAAAUUUCGGGGCUCAACCCCGACAAGCCGUUGAAACUGGCGUGCUAGAGUGGGCGAGAAGUAUGCGGAAUGCGUGGUGUAGCGGUGAAAUGCAUAGAUAUCACGCAGAACUCCGAUUGCGAAGGCAGCAUACCGGCGCCCAACUGACGCUCAGGCACGAAAGCGUGGGUAUCGAACAGGAUUAGAUACCCCAGUAGUC